rnacentral:rRNA from 1 species
ACUCCUACGGGAGGCAGCAGUGGGGAAUAUUGCACAAUGGGGGAAACCCUGAUGCAGCCAUGCCGCGUGUGUGAAGAAGGCCUUCGGGUUGUAAAGCACUUUCAGUAGGGAGGAAGGUAGUGUAGUUAACACCUGCAUUAUUUGACGUUACCUACAGAAGAAGCACCGGCUAACUCCGUGCCAGCAGCCGCGGUAAUACGGAGGGUGCGAGCGUUAAUCGGAAUUACUGGGCGUAAAGCGCAUGCAGGCGGCCUGUUAAGUCAGAUGUGAAAGCCCGGGGCUUAACCUCGGAAUUGCAUUUGAAACUGGCAGGCUAGAGUCUUGUAGAGGGGUUAGAAUUUCAGGUGUAGCGGUGAAAUGCGUAGAGAUCUGAAGGAAUACCAGUGGCGAAGGCGGCCCCUGGACAAAGACUGACGCUCAGAUGCGAAAGCGUGGGAGCAAACAGGAUUAGAUACCCCUGGUAGCACAGAG